UUGACGGAGAGUUUGAUCCUGGCUCAGGACGAACGCUGGCGGCGUGCCUAACACAUGCAAGUCGAACGAGGUCGCCUUCGGGCAAUGACCAAGUGGCGAACGGGUGCGUAACACGUGAGAAACCUGCCCCGAAGACUGGGACAACCACGGGAAACUGUGGCUAAUACCAGAUGCCCUCCGCUGAUCGCAUGAUCGGCAGAGGAAAUGCUCCGGCGCUUCGGGAGGGUCUCGCGGCCUAUCAGCUUGUUGGUGGGGUAACGGCUCACCAAGGCAUCGACGGGUAGCUGGUCUGAGAGGACGAUCAGCCACACUGGGACUGAGACACGGCCCAGAC
rnacentral:rRNA from 1 species